CCUCAGCGCGACCCUGGAGCUGGGGGUGUUUUUAAGUUUGGGGCGAGGCCGGUGAAGCCGAGGCGCGGGCGGCAAGGAGCGCUGGAGAGCGACGGGGCUCGGCCUCCGCGGCUGCCCAGGGGCCCGGGGCAUUCCGAGAAGAGAAAAAAAGCUUGUACUUAAAUACUUCCUGCGAAGUUUUGACUGAGACGCUGCAACAAUUCCCGAGCUGUUUCAUCGUGGCACCUUCCUGGUGGCAGGUGGAUUAGCACAUUGUCUGCAACCCAGGAGGACUUGGAGGAAAGUCCCAGCUCUGCUGAUUCUAGCUGAGUAACCUUGGCAAAGGUCACCUCACUUCUCUCUGAGUCUUAUUUUCUCAUCUGUAAAAUGAGGAGGAGGAGGAGGAUCAUCCAAACAUCACGGGACUUCGUUAAAUCAGUGCUUCGGGGCACUUAGCACAGCGCCUGGCGCAAGGUAAGCACUUGAUAAAUGGGA
rnacentral:lncRNA from 10 species